UGUAUAAUUUACACGUAGAAAAAAGAUUAAUUCCAAAAUCAACAUUGUCUCCCUCAACUCACAAAUAAUCAGUAGGCAUAUAUUAUAAUAUUUUUUUACAUACUGAUGUGCGUGAAAGCGUUAGAUCUAUGGGUGUGUAGGCAACAGAAAUCACCUGUUCACCUGUUUAUUGGAGUCUGAGAGAGGCACGCGGAUCGGAAUUUCACGUUCGACAUUCCGAGUAUAUUCAGACGCAAAAGCGACGCCAGAGCAACAAUGACACAGGUCGAGAGUACAGAGAAAAAUCAAUGCUCGCGAUUACCUACAUACAAUUGUGAUAGUGCAGUGAUGAACAACCGGAAGUUUAAACAGUCAAACUGACAAUGGAUGAAUGUUGUCGUUUGGGUCACUGAAAAGCGAAACAAAUGAUCAUAAAAAGUAGAAAGAUUUUAGUUGAUGGUGCACGGAACAAAUCAAAGGUGAAUCAGAAAACCGUUGAAAAUGUUACACUUGUUAACCGCUUGGGUGUAAGAUAAGAAACAGAAACAGGAAAUGUAAACCUAUAUUUCAUUUCAGUAGCUUAAUGUUAAUUAUUAAAAUUAUAACUUAUACACUGCUGCUUAUACAUUAUUAUAUUUUUAUUUAAAAAAGACGCAUGCAACAAUAAAUUUUUUAUAUUUU